rnacentral:tRNA from 1 species
GGGUCGGUACCAAAGCGGUCAAAUGGGGCAGACUGUAAAUCUGCUGGCGUAAGCCUUCGGAGGUUCGAACCCUCCCCGGCCCAUCA